UGGGGCGGGCAACUGUACCCACCGUUAACAAACUACGAAUACCGUUGGUGGUACCAUGGCAGUUAGAACAUCGGGGCUAAGCUCGGUGCUCAAAAGGGAAACAGCCCAGACCAUCAUCUAAGGUCCCUAAAUUAACACUAAGUGGGAAACAAGGUGAAAUUUCUUAAACAGCGAGGAUGUUGGCUUAGAAGCAGCCAUUCAUUUAAAGAGUGCGUAACAGCUCACUCGUCAAGAGAUUUUGCGUGGAAAAUGUAACGGGGCUAAAGUGUUAUACCGAAGAUAUGGAUUUCGUUAUUCCUACGGGUUUAACGGAGUGGUAGAGGAGCGUUCCUAUCGGCAGUGAAGCUCAAUCGUAAGGUUGGGUGGAGCGUUAGGAAGUGAGAAUGCUGGAAUGAGUAACCAUAAGAAAGGUGAGAAUCCUUUCGGCCGUAAGAGCGAGGUUUCCAGGGCUACUGUAAUAAUCCCUGGGUUAGUCGGGCCUAAGCCGAGGCGUAGCAGCGUAGGCGAUGGACAUCAGGUUAAUAUUCCUGAACCGGUUAUAAUUUGUAUACUGUGUACGGUAAAUUAGUCGAAGCGGAUUAUUGGUAUAUAUCCGUCCAACUUAGCGGGAACGCAAAAGGAGUGAAAGUUAAUCUACGGAUUAACGAUUUUGAUGAAAGUACUGGCUAGAAAAGCAGAUAUACGCGUGGUUAUAGCCGCCCGUACCGCAAACCAACACAGGUGCUCGAGUCGAGUAGACUCAGGCUUACGAGAGACCCUUCGCUAAGGAACUCGGCAAAACAGCGACCGUAACUUCGGGAUAAGGUCUGCCUCCGCAUCAUUCGAUGCGAGUCGUGUUUCAAGCAAUUAGGUUAAGAUUAAUGGUAUAUAUGAGUAUCUUAAACUUCUUUACCGAGAUAGAACAAGUCAAAUGGCUUAGCUUGGAACGUGGCAAACUCGUAUCAAACGAUGCGGAGGCCGCAGCAAAAGAGCCCACGGAACUGUUUACCAAAAACACAGGUCUCUGCGAACACGAAAGUGGAUGUAUAGGGGCUGACUCCUGCCCAGUGCUGGAAGGUUAAGGGGAGUGCUUUACGGUGCGAACUGAAGCCCCAGUGAACGGCGGCGGUAACUAUAACCGUCCUAAGGUAGCGAAAUUCCUUGUCAGGUAAGUUCUGACCCGCACGAAUGGAGUAAUCAUGUGGGCACUGUCUCGGCGAAGGACUCGGUGAAAGUGCAUUGGCGGUAAAGAUGCCGUCUGUCCAUGCCAGGACGAGAAGACCCCAUGGAGCUUUACUACAGCUUUACAUUGACACGGGUUACAUCAUGUGUAGCAUAGGUGGGAGGCUUUGAAGCAGAUACGCCAGUAUUUGUGGAGCCACAGGUGAAAUACCACCCUUGAUGUAGUCUUUGUCUUACCAUUGCCGUUAUCCGGUAAUGGGACCGUGUAUGGUGGGUAGUUUAACUGGGGCGGUUGCCUCCUAAAGAGUAGCGG
rnacentral:rRNA from 1 species